rnacentral:rRNA from 1 species
AACGCGAAGAACCUUACCAAGGCUUGACAUACACCGGAAAGCAUUAGAGAUAGUGCCCCCCUUGUGGUCGGUGUACAGGUGGUGCAUGGCUGUCGUCAGCUCGUGUCGUGAGAUGUUGGGUUAAGUCCCGCAACGAGCGCAACCCUUGUCCUGUGUUGCCAGCAUGCCCUUCGGGGUGAUGGGGACUCACAGGAGACCGCCGGGGUCAACUCGGAGGAAGGUGGGGACGACGUCAAGUCAUCAUGCCCCUUAUGUCUUGGGCUGCACACGUGCUACAAUGGCCGGUACAAUGAGCUGCGAUACCGUGAGGUGGAGCGAAUCUCAAAAAGCCGGUCUCAGUUCGGAUUGGGGUCUGCAACUCGACCCCAUGAAGUCGGAGUUGCUAGUAAUCGCAGAUCAGCAUUGCUGCGGUGAAUACGUUCCCGGGCCUUGUACACACCG